rnacentral:rRNA from 1 species
GACGAACCGUGCGAACGUUAUUCGGAAUCACUGGGCUUAAAGCGCGUGUAGGCGGGAGGGCACGUCCGUCGCUGAAAUCCCCCGGCUCAACCGGGGAACGGGCGCGGAUACGACCUUCCUGGAGGGGCGUAGGGGGACCUGGAACUUCCGGUGGAGCGGUGAAAUACGUUGAGAUCGGAAGGAACGCCCGUGGCGAAAGCGAGGUCCUGGACGCCUACUGACGCUGAGACGCGAAAGCCAGGGGAGCGAACGGG